UACAGAGGUCUCAAGCGUUGUUCGGAUUCAUUGGGCGUAAAGGGUGCGUAUGUGGCGCGGUAAGUCGGGUGUGAAAUUUCGGAGCUUAACUCCGAAACUGCAUUCGAUACUGCCGUGCUUGAGGACUGGAGAGGAGACUGGAAUUUACGGUGUAGCAGUGAAAUGCGUAGAGAUCGUAAGGAAGACCAGUGGCGAAGGCGGGUCUCUGGACAGUUCCUGACGCUGAGGCACGAAGGCCAGGGGAGCAAACGGG
rnacentral:rRNA from 1 species